AAAGUAGGGUUUCAAAAUGGGGUUAGGGUUUCAAAACAAGGUUAGUUUCAAAGUAGGGUUUCAAAACGGGGUUAGGGUAUCAAUAGUGUUUCAAAACAGGCUCAAAUGCACACUUCCGUCUGAAAUGGUUGACAACAACACAGGGGCAGUGGGAGGAGUUAGUCGUGCAGGAAAAGGCAUCUCGUCAUCUGGGUUUACCUUUAUUUGCAUGAGCUCCAUUACCUCACGAUCUGAAAAUUUGGCGACAUAAUGGAAGAAUCAGAAUGACAAACCUGUUUCCAGAUUUCACAAAAUUAUAAUUUUUUUACAGUGAAGUCAGGAAAAUAGCUGGAUAGUAUGGAAUUUUGCAAUCGCAAAUGUGUAUGAACCCUGUGUGUAGAAAAUAGUGUUUUGACUCAUCGACAAAGAAAAAGAGGCCACCAUGUUUGCGGUGAAGACAUCGUGUCCGUCACCGUUGUCUCGCGUUCCAGCGCCACUCGUGAAUGUCUCGGACGCGAGUGUCCUCCUCCUGACCUGCGCCUUGUCCUCCACAUACACACGACAAAAACACACAAUCAUUUCAGGAGUAAGCUGACACACUUUUCCGCACGCGUUGAAAAAUUGGCGCCAUCAGGUGUACAAAUGUAAAAAAAUAAGUAGUCCGAGUCAAAUAAAAAGUUUAAUUUUUUCGAGUAAAUAUUUUUCGAGAAGAAUCUAUUGAGGGAAAAAAAGUUCGGUACGAUUAUUUUCGGGGAAAAAAAUGCUUAGAAAUAAAUGUCAAUUUUUAAAAAGUUCACUUAUAUUUUCAAAAUUAAAAGUUGUAUAUUUUUGAGAAUAGUCGUAUAUUUUUCUAAAAAUCGUAUAUUUUGAAGGGGGGGGGGGGAAGUCUAAUUUUUUUUUGAAAAAUGUUGAGAAAAUUAUUUUAAACUUCAGAGAAAAAAAACAUUUGCAUGCGGGGAGGGGGCGGGGGAGAGGGGUGGGUGUUACCGAGCCUUGCCGAGAACACCAGAGAAUAACUGACUCACUCCUUAAGAGGUAAAUUGCGGUGCCAACACAAAGCAACACACCACCACGCAUCUAGCAUAUACACGAUCAUGAAUCCAUGGUACAUAAACAACAAUUCAGACAAACAAACAAACUACCUUCACAUAAGGCUCAACAGUAGUGUUAGCCAGCAUAUUAGCCUACAAUACAAUAGCACAAACUGACGUGACAACACAUGUGCAAAUAAAUAUGUAUAUAGACAAUAAUUACUGUUAGGGAAUACAGGGAAAUUGUAAUGACAAAGGAUUACAUCUGCUUUUAAUAGCUGUAUGGGAGAGAAAAGGAAACAUACUUUCAGUUUUACUUUUGACAUUUUCUUAACAGUAUUUCUGAGGUGAAAAAUACACAAGCUUUAUUAUCUAAAUCAAUUAUAUGAAGUAAACAUUAUUAACAUCAUCAAUUAACAUCAUCAAUUAUCUUUUCAACUAAAUUCAAGAUUGUUAUAAUUUACCCAUUUAAAAUAAUCACACCAAGCAACUUUCUGAGAGCCUCGGCCCACAAGGCAAAAACAUUGUUCGCUUUAACAACUUUAAAUAUAAAAGUAACCACGUCACAGGUGUUUUACCGUGGCACUGAAGUGCAAAACACAACACAACAAAUUAAACAAAACUGCAAAUUAAAUUCAUUCAUUUGCUGUUGUGUUAUUUGUUCUUGUGGUUGUGUUGUUUUGCACUUCAGGGCCACCGGGACACAAACGCACGAACCACUGAGCUAAAUAAACCCCCAAUGCUCUUACCACAAUGACAAAUGUACUUUUAAAGCACAGCUAGUGAGGUCGAACAGCAAUUGUUAGAAUUUCACUUUUUCAUAUUGAACAGUGACACUGCGAAAGAUAUCACUAGAUAAUGACAUUACUCACAUUUAUAGUGGAACCUCGGGUUACGAAUUUGUUCCGUGACCCCGUUGGUCUCAAACUGAAACGUUCACAAGCCAAGGUAGUGUUUCCCAUUCAAAUGAAUGGAAAUGCAAUCAAUCCGCUCCAUCCGCAGAACUGUUAUAUUUACCUUAUUUUUAUCAUUGUGUGGUUAAAAAUACUGUGCACAUGCUACAGAUAGGUGAAAAGAAUUUCUGAUCAAAUAGUGGGUUCACUAGCAAAUCACUAUCCAGUGUCUUCAGCCUUUUGUAGCCUUUUCGAGUCCACUGUUUUAUGUUCACUUGUGUCCAAAUGUUUCCAACACCUCCCAGAAUGCAGCACAGCUUUUCCAUUGCAUUGUGGGAUGUGGCGGCCAUUUUAGGCAAAAAAAACAAAACAACACAAAGUUUGGGAGCUUUAAGCGGCCAUGCUAAGACUGUUUUUGAAUCGAAAAUAGUGUGUAACUCAAGGUAAUUUGUCUUUCAAAAAAUUGUUCAUGAACAGAAUUGGUCAUAAACCAGGGUUCCACAUUUCAAAUAUUACACAAGAGCUGUAGUGAUCAACACGCACACGCCACUCGUCUUGAGAGUGAGCGCCACAAAAAGCCAGCACGAUAGCAAGCUAGCAAACAACGUUAGCAAACUUACCUUUAAAAUUACAGAGGUAAGAUGGGAUGUGAAACUUGAAUGAAUAGCAAUUCCAGCAGACACCGAAUGAAUUUAGGAUUCCACUGGGAAGUCUAGGUGUCAACACAGAGCACGGAAGUGCUGCAUGCACAGAGCAACAGCAUAGACCAGAGCUGCAACCCGUGGCUCCGGAACCAUAAGUGGCUCUUUCAUCCUUCUGCUGUGGCCCUCUGGUGAGUUUGAAAUUAAAUACUGUGACACUGCUUAACUACUAGAAGUAAAUUGCUACAUGGAGCGAUUUCCAGGGAGAACAGGAUUGCAUCUUCCUAAGCUAGCAAAUCGCCAGGCAACACUUGGCUAAACUUCGUAUGGCUUAUCCCGAGCUCAGACUAUAAUUUUUUUGCAUCAUUUACGACAGUCGCUAUGUCAGAUUACCAGACAUGGUGUCAUUAAAUCGUUUUGUCUUGGACCGUGUACAAUGACUGCAUGAUCAUCGCAGGCCGUCGCCAAGCGCGCGGUCCGACGGCACAGGUCAUCGGGGAGGCGGGACAAGAAGAAAGAGUCCAGGCAGAAGGGAAACAGCGUUUGGGCAUGCCGGACCGCAGGACACAAUAUAUAAAUAUAUAAAGCUUAACGUCGCGUAAGGUCAGAUCACAAAAAUGUAUGUAGACAUCUCUCUUUAUGCUCACUUCAACCUCUGAAAAUAUUAAAAUGAUCAACACAAUAUUUUGGAUUUUAAGGUCAAAGCGUUUUCCAUAGGUGUUCACUAGAGAAAAAGCCUGUGCGUCGCUUAUGACGCUUUUUUAACGCUUUUUCAGUGUCCCGUUUAAAGGCGCUCUGUCACUCUAUUGGUCAGUGUCUAGAAACAAUCAUAGGACCACGUAGGAUUUCACACUAUGCGGAAAAUACCAAAAAAAAAAAGACUUUCCAUGUCAUGGUCGGGAGGCGUCCCAGAUGCCACAUCUGGCAAUCUAUUACGUCAACGCUUGAUAACUCAAAGGAUCGGCCAUGACAGUGCACGUUUGUCUGCGAUGUGUCCGUCGGGUCCAAAUCAGGCUACAUUCGUGUAGUCUGAGCUCGGCACUAGUGUGGAAAUGACCGGGAUGUCACUGUAUCUCACACAACCAACAUUCAGGGUUUCAUAAAAACAAAAGUGCAGCAUAAUUGUAACCUGGGAGUUAAAUAAGACUCACAUUCAAUGAACUACUGGUAACAUAAACACACAUGGAAAAAAAGGAUAAAUGUAUUCAGUACAGAGAAAGUUCAGCAUUGCAUGGGGCAAUGCAUGCUGGGAAUCGCGCAGCUAAACCGUUGCAACAAUUCUCGUUAUUUGCAAAUGUUUUUGUUUUUUUUGGUUCGUUCGCUUUUCAAAUAUAAUUCUAAAUUGGAAGAUGAUUGUGCUCUUGUCACAUUUUUUUUUUUUGUCACUCAAAAUAUGGGUCACAGCCGCUAACGCGUGACACCUGGUGCCAAGAUUCAUUGCGCUAUAUUCGAUAAAUCCAACAAGAGUUUCUGAAGAAACCUAAACAUUUAAUGCUAUGUGCUACAUUCACUAUAUUAAAACAAACCUCGCUCACAUAGCCUCACAGAUGACAAUCAGGAGCAAUAAUCACAUCAACCAGGUAUAAUAAAUAUUUUAAUUGAUUAUUUUACAAAUAAAUAUUUUACAUUGUUAAGUCCUUUUUUAUUUCAAGUUGACAGCUGACUGCACGCUUCACAGGCAAUAAAAUGAUGACGCAACACAAAAGCAGAUUUUGGGAUUGCUGGAGGUGGAUAAUUCGAGUUUGGGUUUUAACUUCAUAAAUACGAGGACUCAAAGAGACAUUAUUGGAAGAAACUUUCAGAGCUUUUUGGAGAGUUCACCAUGUUUUUGUUUUAUGCAGGAAUACAAUUUUGUGUUCUCUAUCAGUUUGCAUAUUUAAUAAAUGCUGAUAUAUGCAGCGUUAGCCUCACUUUAAUUGUCGAAAGGGUCCAGUGGGGCCUGGUGUUUUUUUUUUCUGCUCGAGACAGUCCAAAUGGCCAAAUAGUAUUAUUUCAAAAAAAAAAUUUAUUUUACUGUGAAUGUAAUAUGGUGACAACCGUGCAUGGCAGGGUGGCGCCCUAGUUGGGGGAUUCAUACCUAAGUCAAGGUGUUUUUUGUUUUUUAGAAAUAAGGCAUAUUUUUAGAGAAAAAAAAUGUGUAUUUAAAAAAGUUGUUAAUGUAAAGACAUUUGCAAUUGAAGUUUACUUUUUGUGACUAUCAUCUGUGUGCAGAGUACUUAAUGUUAGGGUCGGGAGGAGCGCAUACCCAAUCCGUGGUGGCGUCAGCAGCCACGCGUUUGCGCGUAUGUGUGCGUGUCCCCCGCGACGCUCUUGUGGUAUUGAUGGCACGGCGCGUCCUCGCCAGGGGCGUUGCCCAUGGCGGCGCAGCAACAUUCCACCCCCGGGGCGACGUCCUCCAGUGAUUCUUAAAUUUGGAUGGGGAAGGGGGCUUGACGACAACACGAGAUUUGUGCAGGUGUACCUAAUGUUGUGCCGGUGGAUGUCGGUCCCAUGACUUACUUGAGACGCAGGCGCUGUGCCUGCUGCGAUCGCGCUUCCUCUUUUUGCCCUACCACACAGAAAAAAAACAAUGAUUGUUUUGCUUGAGUCCAAAAAAAUUUGAGUCAAUUCUGAAACACAGGAACUCUCUUAAAACUCAUUCACUGCCAGUCUUAGGAUAUUUGACGUCUAAAACCGUCAAUGGCAGUGAAUGUUUAAAGGCAACGCCGGCAAGACGUAGAAACCACCAAUAACAAAAUAACCAGAGGAAUGCUUGUUAGUUUCUUUUUCUCCACUUAGUGAUCUGCUUAAAUUUCGGCGAAAUGUCUCGGAUGAUCUGACCAAAGCGGAGGUCCACCGGUAGCCAUUCCCGGCCUGACAGGGGAUCGUUGUGUAUUUCUUGUCUUGUGGUCACAUGGGUUAACACGGCCAAUCAGAUGCGUAUACACUGUAACAAGGAAGUGGAGAGCGUAGUCGAGCCCAAAAGAAAUUUUUAGUACGACGGUUCAUUAUUUGAUACCGAGACAAGACCAGGCACUUUUAAUACCGCACUAUUAUGAAUCUUGUGACAUCCGUAGUACUCACCCAAAACCUUUGUGAUGAAAACAUGGUCGGCAGACAUGCCUGGCUAAAUGUAUUUUCAAGAACAAAAGUUGUAUAUAUUCGGGAAGAAUAUAAUUUCAGAAAACGUUACAUAUAUGAGAAGGUCAAAUUUUCAAUCAAAGUCAUAAUACAGUGACACCUUGACUUGCGAGUUUUAUUUGUUUUGUGACCACAUCAUCUUUCCCCAUGUUCUUGUUUUUUUAUUAAAAAAAUUGCCCUCUAGAGUAUUGUACUGUACAGUGUAAAAACAAAAACAUAGUUGUAACUUCCAUCCAUUAUCUUUACUGCUUCCUCACUCGGGUCGAGGGCUGCUGGGGCCUAUCCCAGCUAUCUUCGGGCGGGAGGCGGGGCACACCCUGAGUCGGUCGCCAGCCAAUCGCAGGGCACAUAGAAAGAAACAACCAUUCACGCACACAUUCACACCUACGGGCAAUUUAGAGUCCUCAAUCAACCUACCACGCAUGUUUUUGGGAUGUGGGAGGAAACCGGAGUGCACGGACAAGAUAAAACGCAUGCAUAUCAUUGACUUAGACCACAGGUGUCAAACUGGUGGACCGGGGGCGUCACAUCAUUUUAUGUGGCCCGUGAAAGCAAAUCAAAAUUGCUAAUUGUGUUCUGGUGUAAUAAUGGAUUGCUUGCAACACAAAUCAACCUAGGGGCUUGCUCGUAACUUGAAAAACUCCAAAUCAAAGUACCACUGUAUUUUCAAUUUUAAAAAAUAAAUAAAUAAAUCAUAUUCCGAGAAAAACGUAUAUGGUAUUUUGGUCUUACGUAGUUUUCCGUGCAGGACCAUUCUGGAUGCUGCAGGCUAUGGAGGACUUUGUGCUCCUCGGCCUGCUGGUAGUACUUGGCCUGCAGCUUCUUUGGCAGCGACUUCCACUGUGGAAGGGGACAACAAGUCAGCACCAUCGCGCUAACGUCGACAUAACAAGACCAGGGUGUUUAAACGCCUUACAGGAGGAGGAGCCUGGUUCACACCUUCGUACACCGGCAUCAUCAUGGCGUUGUCGUCCUGGGGAGAAAUAUAAUUACUUACUGUAAAGCCAAGAUGGCCAAUACACUUUCAAGCAUUUGUCAAAUGUACAGUAAAACACAAAAAAGACAAUGAGCACACUCACGCAGCAGCUGCUGUCGACCACAGCUCACGCGCGUACGCAACAACAAGCUCUCUCUCUUAAAGGCACAAUGUACACAGACACUACAAAACAUUCAACAUUUUCUACACAUCUUUUUCUUGCAAUGAUGGUGUUUGAAUAUGUUUAGUGUUUUUAAAAGCAGGUAAAAGGCAGUAACGGCAGCUAUUUAAAAUAUGUGUGAUGUGGUUUCUUUGUAUUAUAGAUUUUCAUCUUAUUGUGGAUGAUUCUGGAAUGUAUCACCUGCAAUAAUAGUGGUUCCCUGUAUUUUUGUGUGUUUUAUUUUGGAACAUAUGCUCAGUUAUUUGCUGAAAAACUCACCUUUUUGCAUUUAUUGUGCUAUUUCUGAAACGCCCUAAGAUUCCACAAGAUGGCACCAAAGCCCUGUCUAAUGGGAAAGUACAGUGGAACUAUGUUCAAGAGACACAUCUUGACUGAGACACAAGAUUUGGAGGAGCUAUGAGAUUCUCCACACACACACACAAAGCCAUUCGUUUUUAUUCCGUGAGUUAAUAGCCAUAAACGCCAAACAGCGUGAA